CGUGGAAUCCGUUGAUGACAACUUUCUGGUCCAGGUAGUGGACAGACCAACCAGAGGUGAAGCGUUGCUGGACCUGCUGCUCACCAAUGCAGAAGAGAUCAUCAAAGAUGUCAAUGUUGAAGGCAGCCUGGGCUGCAGCAACCAUGCCCUGGUUGAGUUCGUGAUCUUGAGGGAUGUGGGCCUGACAAAGGGUGGGGUCAGGACCCUGAACUUUGGAAGAGUGAACUUUAAGCUGUUCAAUGGAUUGUUGGCCAAGAUCCCCUAGGAUGCUGUCCUUAAAGAUAAAGAUGUUGAGGAGAGCUGGCCACUCUUCAAGGAUGCCCUCCUGAAAGCACGAGAGGUCUCCAUCCCUCUGAAUAGGAAAGUGGGCAGACGAGACAGGAAACCGGCAUGGCUCGGCAACGACAUGCUGGGCACACUGAGGGCAAAGAAAGGAAUGAUGACAUCAACUGAACAAAAUAUGAACUGAUUGAGGGCUUGUGACUUUUAAGGAUUUAUUUCAAAGGGAAACAGAACAAAUGGAUCACUCAGAGGUGAAUCAUAGAAUCAUCUAGUUUGGAAAAGAUCUUCAAGAUAAUCAGGUCCAAACAUCCACAUAAAGCAUCAAGUCCUGCCUUUUCCUAAAUGCCACAUCCACAUAUCUGUUAAAUACCUCCAGCUUCCAAAGUGUCAAGCAAUAUGUAGGAAAAUCACAGCAGAAAAGGGGAAACACUGAUGGUUGAUUAAGUCAUCUGUAGAGACUUCACACUCAGAAGUCCCCCAGCUGAGUUAUGCCCCUUCGUCACGGAAUUCACACCCCACCCCCUCCACUGACGCAAACUUCAGAGAGCAGCUCCAUGGAGGAUAACCUAAGUGCUGCCUGCAGAGCUAAGUGUGCUGUCCUUGCUUGUUAUUGUAGCAUUGAUAUACAUAUCUUCCUUUCCUCAUUUGUUAUAUCCUAAUGUCAUUAGGACAAGCCUGCAGCAAUUUUAAACGCUGGCUGCACAGCCUCUUUGACGUCAUUACAGAAAGGUCUCGAGUGCAGACCCUGCAUAUACUGUCUGUGAUAUAGUGUAUAAAAAUCCAUGUCAGUGCUGGCUCUCGGGGAGCACUGGAAAUGAUUCAGCUGUCUGGAAUGGGCAGAUGGCUGCUAUCAAAGUUUUAUUAUCACCAUCAUUAUUAUUACAGUGGUUUGUGACACAUGCUGAACUUUAAGACUGGUGUAAAAGCUUAAGUAUUUGAGCAACACUUUCUGAAAUUCAAAUCCUUCAAAUCCUUUCCAAUCUAACUCCAAAAAGCAGGAGUACGUUUCAAGCUAAUUAGACAUAUUGCUUGGUUUCACUUCCAACUUUCAGAGUAAUUAUCUCAAAAUUCUUGUUCUCUUGUAAACGCAAAUGUUCACUAUUUUUAAUUGCCUUGAUUUAUUGCAGAACUUAAAUUCAGUACAUGCUGAAAGUUCAGCAGGGUGGAAAGAAAAUUUGAGUUUGUUUAAGGGAGCACAUGGAUAGGAUUGUGUACUGUGGCCUCUGUUUAGAAAAGCUCAUCGUUAACCUAUGCUAACAGGAACUGCUUGCUGGAGGCAUCCUCUAAAACUAACCAUACCGAGGAGUACAGAAUUAAUUGAUACAGAUUUCUUCAACUUGCAACAUGAACAGAUUUACUUGGAUGUUGUAAGAGUGACAUUUCGUUUUCAUCUCUGUAGCUGCUACCUCUGCUGCUUUGUGUAUUUGAAUAUUUCAGUUCUCACAGGGUUCUCUUCUGACGCAUCAGUAGACGGCUGAAGGUUUUUCUCGGUCAUCCUGAGACUGGCUCAGACUAUGUUAUGUUGGCUGUCUGUCUGUGCUUUGUACUUGUCUUUCGUACGGCCUCCAUGGCUCACCAGCAUGAGGUAUAGAUCAACUACUGCUGCCUAUGCCACUGCCUUUUGUGAUUCCUUUUUGUGGUUAUAUUUAGCCCUGAAUGCUAUGGUAUUGGCUUUUGAAUUCUCUGUUCUGGCCAAGUUUUUUGUUUAAGUUGUUGUCCUUUUAGUUUUACUGUAACUGGUCUGUCAGCAGGGGUCCUCUCAGCACAGUAAUGACUCAUGAACAUAUUUCCAUUUCCAGGAGGGCGUAUUGUGGUUGGCCAGCACUGCUAGGCAGACAUCUUAUCCUUCUUGUUCUGCCUUUACCAUCAACAUCCACAUUAUAAUUUCUCAGGCCAGGCAUCACUUUGUGCUUUUAUUUCUUCCCAAAUCUUUGAAAUCAGCUAUCAGGUACUGUGGACCACUUUUUCAGUAUGGCCUGUUGGAUAUGCAGCCAAAGUGUUUUUGUUUUUGUUUUCCUAAUCUCAUUUUUCUAUAUGUCCUGAAAUUGGGCUAGUAAAUUCUUGUAAUGACAGCAUUUUGGGAAGUGAAAGCAAAGAAUUGGACUUAAUUCUUUUUCAAAAGUAUUCAUUUUCUGUGGUUGUAGCAUUCUCCUGCUGUCAGGUAUCAAGGCAUUUGCCCAGCUUCUACUAGAUAUUUAAAACAGGGCCAGGGUUUUUUUCACCAACUAAGACUGGAUUUAUUCUGAUUUAAAUAACAAAAUUUUGCAUCCAGAUAAGUGUGCAUUAAUUACAGUAAUGGCAUGAAUCAUGGAUUAGGUGAGGUUGGCUGAGGAGGCAUUUCUGGAGGCCAUUUGGGUCAACCUCCACUCAAGCAGGGACACCCAGAGCUGGCGGCCCAGAAGCAUAUCCAGAUGGCAAAGAGACACUCAGUCUAUAGUUCUUGUAACUAACCUACAGAUUCUCCCCACAGUCCAGGGAAAUUACACUUAAGCAGCUUGUAGGAUUUUUAUUGAAAGUCAAAGAUAACUUGAAUUCAAAAGUAGCUAGUGAGAAGCAUGACAGCAAAUAUUUGGAAAGGUCAGUAGACUGCUGGGAUGAUACAAUCUCAGGCAGUGGAACAGGAGUAAGAGAAAAGAGAUUGAUAACACUAAUGCUGUAUGAUAGUGACAGAGCAAAUUGUCCCUUUUUACAGAUCUUUUAGACAACUUUAUUUUCUACCAUUGUAUGUGGGAACAUGUUUAGUUUUUUUAGUUGUUUAGUUUUCCACUGAGACCAGAGCCUGAUGAUUUCUCUUGUUCCCUUAAAGUACAUCCAGAAUAUUUAACACACUGGCCUUCCAGCUUAUCACAUGCUUUCUGUUUCUCAGUGACUUUUUUUGAGUUCAAAUCAUUGAGUGCUAAUGCAAAAACCUAAGAGAAUCAGUUCCCCUGUGCUAUGCUUGUGGAAAAAACCUUUGCAAAUAAAAGUCUGAUAUUAAAGUGGGGUGGAGGGAAAAAGAAGGUAACUGUAUUACCUGACUGAUCAGUGCUGCUUUAGUCUGUAUUCAGUAAAUUCACUUAUGAAUGAUAUUUUUCCCUAAAGCAGUGUUUCCCAGAUAUUGAUUGCUGCGGUUGGUAAUGGAUCUAGAGGCCAGCCAGCUUCCAGUGACGCAGUUUCUAGGAACAUGGACAGUGCCAGUCUGAGCUCCAAAAAUCAAUCGCAUAGAGAUGGUUUAUGGUUUGUAACUGUCAGAAAUAGUGGCAGCAGUGUGGCAUUACAGGACGCUGCCCUGUGUCUGUAGACAAAGUGUGUUUUCUGGAAGAGCAGGAUCUUUCCCUCUGCAGAUUUUGGGUACCUCACCUGUUACCAGAGAGAGCAGAGCUGCUUAAGAGCUCAUGGGAGGAAGGACUAGUGAUUGCCAUGCAUGUCUCUUUUCCCUCUGUCAUAAUUGCCUGGGCAGUUAUUUCUCUUCCUACCUGGCAAAACUGGCUGUGUAACACUCAGUGGUGCCAGUGCUCAUCUCCUUCUGUUCCUCAGGGAAACUUACUGUGUCUCAGCCUAGUUUUUUCCCCUUUUUUUUGUCUGAAAAGCCUGGUUCCUUAGUGGGGGUCACAAGCACCACAAAUCUCAAAACGGGAAGGAAAAAAAUAUGUUACUAUUCCAGAUGCUGUUGCUCUCAUAGUAUCAUUGAAUGUUGCUUAUCACACUGCAAUUUAAGUGGAAUGGAAUCUCUUGAGGGACUUAAAAUAACUUUAUCACCAAAUGAAGGCAAGUUUAGUGAGCCUGUCUGUGCUGUUUUCAGUUAGAAUCUCUGGUAGCACUGAGCAGUCUGUCCAGGAAGCUGUUUCCGUAUCAUCUACAGUUUGUCUUAAACUCUACACCCAUUUGAUAGCAGGUAAUGAACAGGUUUUGCUGACAUUCUUCAUAUACAUUCUCUCAUCUUUCCCCAGUAAUUAGCAUGACACAUAGAAGCACAGAGAGGUAGAGUGGCUCAUGCAGACUAAUUUACUCAGUGUUUGGAUUUCAAUGAAUAGCUUAUAAAAAGAUAUGUAUGCUCUCUUCUAUCCCCUUACCUGAGAUAUUCAGUCCACCUCCCUCAGCUUUCUACCAUGACAGCUUGCUUCUAUGGUUGUGAGAGCAUAAGCUGCCUGUCCUGUCUCAGAUGUGCAUCUGACCUUGAUUUCAGAGGCAAAAAGAGAAUGAAAGGAGAUUUGCAGCCAAAAUCAGUUAAUAAUGAGGUGAAAUUAUGUAGGACAAAUCGACUUUAAAAGGAUAAAUGAAGUCAUGUGGAGUUGUGUAAUAUUGCAGUCAGUCUACCACCCACAUCCAAGCUAGUUCUUUAAAAUUGCCUAUUUCUGGGACCAUGGACUUCUGAAUAGUUGUGGCCCUCUGAUCUAUAUGCCCAAAUCUUGAGAUCAAGACCACAGGCAUCUACUUAUUGAGGAGCAAUAAGAAGGGUGAUCUGGAAAUCGUAUGAUUUCCAUGCAUAUGAUGCUACCUCCUGAGAGAUCCUGUCACUGUACCCUAGGGCUAAGUCUGGUGUGCAGCUGAGUCCUGCAUCAGGCUGGCAGUGUUCAUCUUGGCAAUUCCUUUUGCUGUAUUUCCCUUGUAGCUGGGAUCUGGAUUGCCAGCACUGUGCUGCUCUUGGUCAUGGCAUUUGGUUUGGCAGCAGAUGUUAUCCCUCUUAGAAAAAAGAUGCCCCAGUAAAAGGUUGGAUGGAACCUUGAGCAAGCCUGAUCUGGUACAUGGCAAUCCUGGGGAGAGUAAGCUCAAUGAUUUUUAAUGUCCCUUUCAACCUAAGCCACUCGUUGCUUCUAAAUGGAGAAAAGAAUGAGGAGGGAAUUAUUUUCUGCAGGAGUCGUGUCUUACUCAGGCACAUUAGCUUAUCACCCAACCAUAUCCAACAAGUAAUACCACUGUGCGGGGCUCCUGAAUUCCAGCCCUCAGGCAGCAGCCUGCUUUGUGAUCUCUCAUUCAUCUCCAAAGACAAGUGUAGUGGGCUGGAACCAGGACAGACAGUUCAGAUUAAUCAGACUGUGAGCCUAGAGUUUACAUGGUCAGGGGUAAGUGUGUUCUUGAAAUAGGAUUGGCCCAGAUCAAGGAGAAGUAAAGCACAGUUUGUAUGUUUUGAUGUAAGAUUAAAGUCAGAGAAAUGUGAACAAAAACAGACCAAGAUUUUUAAGAUGUUUAUAUUUUUAUUAUUUAUAGAAAUCCUGACAGAGUGUUUUUUUUUCUGAGUGCUCUAAAAUGCAUUGGAACCUGACCUACUUUCUUCUCAGGUUUACCUACCUACAUUUUCCGUAGCUCUGGAGGACACGUCAGCUGCAGACAAGAAGAAAAAAUGCACUAGCUUCAUAAAAUUACAAUACGAUCUCUUAGUUUGGCUGGUGAUUGCAUUCUAAAAGGUAUCACAGCCAGGACACAGAGUCAACUGCAAGAGAUAAGAGGGCUGCUCCCAAAGUAAUGCCUUCUAUUUUAUUAUUUUGGCUCACAAUGUCAGAAUCAGAUGUUGAUGAUAUGGCAGUAGAGAUUGAAUCUUCCCACCAAUGUUUCAUUGCAUUUUGUUGCUGUGUGACAAAUGGCAGCAGAGAGGCAGUCUGACAGAAUGAUGUUUGACAUGGAAGUGCAUAUGAAGCAAAGGUGUGACAUUGAAUUCCUCUAUGUGGAAAAAAAUGACAUCCACUGACAUUCAUGGAUACUUGCUGAACGUUUCUGGAUAUCAAACGGUGAAUGUUGGCACAGUGAUGCUGUGGGUGGUGCAUUUCAGUAGUGGCAACAGUGGGUCAACUCCAGUAGUACAGAUUUUUACAAGUGCAGAAUGCAGGCUUUUGUUCAUCACUGGUAAAAAUGCAUAGUUACUGGUGGUGACUGCGUGGAAAAGUUUUCUGUAGCUGAGAAUUUGCUCUGUCAACUAGUAUUAUCGUGCUUUUUGUAUCUGCUGUAGUUUCCAUGGAAAUAAAUAGGAGGCGUUACUUUUGGAGUGAUCUACAUAAUGUUCUCAGGCUUGUUCACAUAAACAAAUCCAUUCCUUUCUAAACCAUGAAAGUGUCUGUGUGUGGAUGUGCACAGGUUUAAUAGUACAGAAUUAUCUAUAAAGUAUGUGAGAUAGUGUUUUGAGAGAGGAAAUAAGAAGGAAGGAAACAAUGAGGAGCUCUGGAAGGCAGAAAAUGCUAUUUUCGAGUUGGAGUCAGUAUGCCAUAAGUAUCUAAUUUCACAGAUACUUAAUGUCACGUAUAUCAUGCUCUCAUAGAUAUUUAAUACACUUUAUUUUUGUACAUGCUAGUAACAUGCCACAGUAUACUUCUAAAAACCACAAAAAGACAACAUUAAUGGGAUUCUAACUUACUUGAUUUUCUGGGACUUCACUGCAAGAAUAGCUCAAAAAGCUAAAAGAUGACCUGGUGUUUGAGAGAGAGAAAGGGAUUGUAUAUUGAUACUAAUUUCCACUGAGAUCAUUUGGCUGCAGCAUCCAAAGAGAACAUUCUCAUUAACUAUUGCUCAGUUAAAAUUUAAUAACUUGGAAAAAAAAAAAAAAAAAAAAGGCAAAGGUGACUGAAAUACAGUGUCUGGAUGCAGCUAGAUUUUUGGCCACCUUGGGUUCCCAGUCCUCUGUAUUCUAUGCACAAUACUUUGGCCAGAACAAAAUACUAUAGAUGUGAGAAAAAAAUGUACUGCAUCAUCGUGAUCUAAAGCACAUGUCUCAGCCACUCCAUCUUUCCUCAAAAUUUAGCCAGUGGCAACACAUUAUAACACUUAUGAGUCCAUUCAGCACAGGGCUGUGUUACACGUGUAUGCUGGCCUAUUCAUUAAAAUUCAGAAGUUGUAAAGCAUUAAACUUGCCUACUACAAGGAUUUUUUUGUAUGGAUAGUCCAGACAGGCUCAUAAAAGUCCCCGGUGCUUUACAUUCUAGAUUGAACUCUACGACAAUAAAGCUCCUUGAAAUUACAUGUAUAUGGAACUAAACUAAAUACCACAAUGUAAAGAAAACUGUCAAAGCACCACACUGUGUUCUUAAAUGGCCAACUUAAUCACUCUCAGUAAGGUUAGUAUCUGUGCAGUAGCUGAAUUAAGCUGUUCUUAUAUUUCACAGCUAGAGUUCCAGUAAAAUUGGAGCAUGAUAUUCAAAUACCUUCCUCUCCAUUGAAGAUUUUACUCAUAGUCUCAAAAUAAAUGUUUUCUGGAAAUAAUUUUUGUGAAGAAAGCUAAUAUGAAUAAGUGUAGGGUGUACAAUAGACUGCCUUUUAGCUAAUCCAUCUAUUUUAUCAUUCUUACCUGAGAAGAAGCAUUUUUUCUUCACCUUUCAUGAAAGUUUCAGUGUUAGAUUUGCACAUUCUAUAAAAUACUUACAUGUGUAACACAGCAAGUAUGUGCAAUCCUGCUGAUGCAACAAAUGCUGUGAAAGAACUUUCAGACCUUGUGGCAAAGCAUCAUCUGUGACAGCCACAGAGUCAGUCUGCAGGUAGGUGCAUGUCAGGUAAACCAUGGCUUUUCAGAUUUCACAUUUUUAGAAAUGAUUCAGAGUACUUACUGGAACAAAGUAGCUAAUGAUCUUGUCUAAAUAAUUAUGACAAGAAUAGAUGAUAUGAUUUUCCUAGCUGAAAUGACAGUAGUAAAAAGUAGGUAAAUCACUGAGUCUUGAAUUAUGGUUUGGGGACUGCUUUCUUUUUCUUUUUCUUUUUCUUUUUCUUUUUCUUUUUCUUUUUCUUUUUCUUUUUCUUUUUCUUUUUCUUUUUCUUUUUCUUUUUCUUUUUCUUUUUCUUUUUCUUUUUCUUUUUCUUUUUCUUUUUCUUUUUCUUUUUCUUUUUCUUUUUCUUUUUCUUUUUCUUUUUCUUUUUUUCUUUUUCUUUUUCUUUUUCUUUUUCUUUUUCUUUUUCUUUUUCUUUUUCUUUUUCUUUUUCUUUUUCUUUUUCUUUUUCUUUUUCUUUUUCUUUUUCUUUUUCUUUUUCUUUUUCUUUUUCUUUUUCUUUUUCUUUUUCUUUUUCUUUUUCUUUUUCUUUUUCUUUUUCUUUUCCUUUUCCUUUUCCUUUUCCUUUUCCUUUUCCUUUUCCUUUUCCUUUUCCUUUUCCUUUUCCUUUUCCUUUUCCUUUUCCUUUUCCUUUUCCUUUCUUUCUCUUCCUCUUCUUCUUCCCCUUCCCCUUUCCCUUUUCUUUUUCUUUUUUUAAUUGUUUCACUUAAAUCCUCAGCCAAUAUCUUAUAGAUGUAUUUGUAAAUGCUUAUACACACACGCGUAUACUUUAGCUUCUAUGUGCACACUAUAAAUUAUACCUUUUAAAGAUGAAUUCCUUUACCAACUUGAGAUUCUGUAGCAAUCCCUGUAAACUAGAAAAUGCAGCAACAAUGAGUAAUCACUGGAUUUCCACGUGCUUUCCAUUUUAACAUUUAAAUGGAAUUUACAUUUAAAAGUUCCUUACAUUUUCACUUCAGCAUUUCCUAUGUCCCAUUCAGCAUCAUCCUUGUUGGAAUUAUGGUGACCUCUGGCAGACAAGCAAGUAGGAAGUUGGGAGUCAUGAAUUCUGACACUGUUCCAAUGCCAAAUGUGGCACAAUGGGUCGAAGUUACUUUGAGGGUGUCCAUAGCUGCACUGAGGAAACCACAACUAUGCAGGUAUCUGCUUGCAAAAAUAGUAUUAUUUCACGAGGCAUAUUCUCUGCUAUUUGUGAAUGAAUGGGACAAGUAUACUGACAACACAGUUUGACAGAAUGGAUAAACAAAUCUGUAUCCUUCUUUGACCAGGACAUCACAUCCUAAAAAUAUGUAUGACAGAGCUGCAGUUUACACUAUAUUUCUUUCAUCAGUUGGACUUUAUAGCCAAUAGGAAAGAAGCAUAGUGUUGUUCCCUGCCUGGAUUUAUGGCCUUGCCUUCAUUAUUUCUAUAAUUCUUUAUUGCUGCAAGUCCUGGGAAAGCUUAUAUUUCAGCAAGAUGUAACUGAGUCCUCUAAGAGUGAUGACCAAUCAGAUGAAAGCCUGUCCCGAUGUAUCCUGAGGCAUUUGUUCAGGUCUUGCCCUGGACUGAUGCAGGCAGCCACUUCCUAUGGCCCUGCUAUGGUUGGACAACACGUAUGGAAAUGGAAGGUGCUUUCCUAAUCUGACACUACUCUGAAAAAGAAUUACAAGAACUACUAUUUCAAUCAAAAAAAUGUUUGACCUUGCUUAUAUGGACUUGGAUCAAAAUGACAGUGUAAAGAACAAUAUAUUCAGUUGCUCAGCAAAGCCCAUAGAAUUCUGCAUACUGCUUGGAAAUGCAACCCCAGUAAAAUCAGGGAAUUAGGAGCUGUGUCGGAAAACAUAUCUGGACUCCAUUUCACAUAUUCUCUGAGAUUCACUAAAAUAUUCAUCAAGAGAGAUUCUAUGACUCCAAGGCAGAAUUUAAUGGGACCAGAACUGAGGCGGAUUGUUGAGGAUGCUUGUACAGAGGCCAUAAUGUCUGUAUAAAAUGUUAUAACUUGCAAUCAUAUUCCUGACCUGAUCCAGCAGGAAUGAUAUAAAUACCAGUGUUUUAGCUGGUCUGGGAUAGGCAUUAAUCUACCUCCUGCUUUCACUGAUACAAAGAGGAACAAAGAAAUAUAUAUCUCCAAUAAUUAUACAAGAUAUCCUCCAGCAGUAAUGCCUCCUAUUUUAUGACAUUGGCCAUGGUGUCAGAGGCACAUGUUGGUGGUAUGGCAGUAGAGCUUGAAACUCCCUGCCAAAGUUCCAUUCCAUUCUCUUGCUGUGUGAUGGUUGGCAGCAGAGGGGCAGUCUGACAGAACGUUGUCUGGCAUAGAAGUGAACAUGAAGUAAAGGUGUGUUGCUGAAUUCCUCCAUAUGGAAAAAAUAGCACCCAUUUACAUUCACUGGUGCUUGCUGAAUGUUUCUGGAGACCAAACAGUGAAUGUGAGUACAGUGAAGUGGUGGGUGGUGCGACAGCAGAGGCGACAGUGACAGUGGUUCACCUCUGCUGGUACAGAUUUUUCCAAGUGCAGCAUGAAGGCUCUUGUUUGUGGCUGACAAAAAUGCAUAUCUAAUGGUGAUGACUAUGUUGAAAAAUUGGGUUUUGUAGCUGAGAAUUUGCUCUAUCAAAUAGUGUUAUUGUGGUCUUCAUUGUAGUUUCCAUGGAAAUAAAUAUGAACCAUUACUUUUGAAACAACCUGCGUAAUUUAACUGGAAAUUUAAAACCUAUGUGUAACAAAGAGAAGAUUAAUGUAACGGAAGAGCUUUCUAACAAGAAUUCUAAAUCCUAAUUUGAUAAAGCCCAAAUCCUAAUUUAGUUAACAUAGAACUUGAUCUGCCUAUGAAAGGGAUUAUGUAUGUCAUUGCCUGUAAUUGCCAAAUGGAAAUGGAAUACCUCAACAGGCCCAUUCCAAUCUCAUAUUUUUAAAAAGCCUUCUAUAUUUUUGUAUUCAUUUUUCUACCAAAUGGGGAUGGUUUUUGAGCUUAAAAUAUGAUGGAAAAAUUGAACUGUUCCUUUCUUAACUCUUUUGUAUAAACACCUGUAAACUCAAUCUUUGUAAAAGUUUGAGUGAUUGGUCAAGUUGCCCAAAUGGCAACAAAGUUUUGUACAUUUUUAUUCAUUUGCAUUCUUAGUUAUGCUUGUAUUUCUAAAGUUUAUCUCCUCUACAGGGAAGAAGAAGUGACAAAGAGCUGAUGUGAGAGACAGAAAUUAUCAACAAAUGAAUCCUAAAAUGCUUAAAAAUUUUUCUUGUUAGUAUAAUUUUUUUUUCAUCUUCUCUUUUCUGCCUGCUUAUUUCAAAUCUGAAAGACCUGCAAAAUAUUUUUAAAAAGGAAUGCACCAUAUUUUCAACAGGAAAAUUUGUGAAACCAUGAUCAUAAGAUCUUACGUUAUCUUUCCCUUCCUUUGAAAUGACAGAGAUCGUUAAGAACUUAUUUAUAUAUUGUGUAACUUUAUUACUGAAUUCAUUCACAAUUAUCUGUGAAAAGACUAUGGAACAGUUGGUCCUAGUUACCAUAAUUGUCAUAACCAGGAUAGAAUUGAUUAAAAUUCAAUUGCAGGUCCAUCAGUUGUAGGCAUCUAAGAAAACAUCAAUUCUUUUGAAUUUAGGAGGAGUAUUAGAAAGACAUAUAUAGCUUGUUCUAAAUUCUCAAAAAUCUCCUGAGAAAAAAAAGUGUGAGAAAGUAAGAACUAGGUAGUCCAUAGUGAUACAGAUGUAUUAUAUGGAGUACUUGUUUUCAAACUAACACAAGAAAACAUGAAGAUUUAUGACUAAUUAAUCUAAAACAGUUACAGGUACAUCUUAUCUGACAAGUGGUUUGUCAUUCACAGUAUGUAAAACUAAACAGUUUUAGCAUCUAAAAUGCUAAAAGAAUGACACUGUUAUCUGAUAAGAUGUACUAAAAACAUUCAUAAAAAUAGGUAUUGGAAAAGGUGAAUUGAGGUCUUUAACAAAAUAAAUUUACUAUUCGUAGACUUUCAUUCUUCCUGUCACCUUUGAAAAUACAGAUAUUUGUCUGUCAGGAUAUAAAAGAGUCCAUUCCUUCUUAUGUGAUUUAUGGGAGGUGGAAGGCCAGUUUUAGU
rnacentral:lncRNA from 1 species